GACUCUGGGAUAAGCGCUGGAAACGGCGUCUAAUACCGGAUACGAGCUGCGAAGGCAUCUUCAGCAGCUGGAAAGAAUUUCGGUCAGGGAUGAGCUCGCGGCCUAUCAGCUAGUUGGUGAGGUAAUGGCUCACCAAGGCGUCGACGGGUAGCCGGCCUGAGAGGGUGACCGGCCACACUGGGACUGAGACACGGCCCAGACUCCUACGGGAGGCAGCAGUGGGGAAUAUUGCACAAUGGGCGCAAGCCUGAUGCAGCAACGCCGCGUGAGGGACGACGGCCUUCGGGUUGUAAACCUCUUUUAGCAGGGAAGAAGCGAAAGUGACGGUACCUGCAGAAAAAGCGCCGGCUAACUACGUGCCAGCAGCCGCGGUAAUACGUAGGGCGCAAGCGUUAUCCGGAAUUAUUGGGCGUAAAGAGCUCGUAGGCGGUUUGUCGCGUCUGCUGUGAAAACCCGAGGCUCAACCUCGGGCCUGCAGUGGGUACGGGCAGACUAGAGUGCGGUAGGGGAGAUUGGAAUUCCUGGUGUAGCGGUGGAAUGCGCAGAUAUCAGGAGGAACACCGAUGGCGAAGGCAGAUCUCUGGGCCGUAACUGACGCUGAGGAGCGAAAGGGUGGGGAGCAAACAGGCUUAGAUACCCUGGUAGUCCACCCCGUAAACGUUGGGAACUAGUUGUGGGGUCCAUUCCACGGNAUUCCGUGACGCAGCUAACGCAUUAAGUUCCCCGCCUGGGGAGUACGGCCGCAAGGCUAAAACUCAAAGGAAUUGACGGGGACCCGCACAAGCGGCGGAGCAUGCGGAUUAAUUCGAUGCAACGCGAAGAACCUUACCAAGGCUUGACAUAUACGAGAACGCUGCAGAAAUGUAGAACUCUUUGGACACUCGUAAACAGGUGGUGCAUGGUUGUCGUCAGCUCGUGUCGUGAGAUGUUGGGUUAAGUCCCGCAACGAGCGCAACCCUCGUUCUAUGUUGCCAGCACGUAAUGGUGGGAACUCAUGGGAUACUGCCGGGGUCAACUCGGAGGAAGGUGGGGAUGACGUCAAAUCAUCAUGCCCCUUAUGUCUUGGGCUUCACGCAUGCUACAAUGGCCGGUACAAAGGGCUGCAAUACCGUAAGGUGGAGCGAAUCCCAAAAAGCCGGUCCCAGUUCGGAUUGAGGUCUGCAACUCGACCUCAUGAAGUCGGAGUCGC
rnacentral:rRNA from 1 species